UGCUGCCCUGGCAGGGAUUGGCUUGGCUUUGGAGCUUGGCUUCGCUGGAGAAGAGAGGUGGUGAAAACAUUUCAACGGAGAAGUGGAGAACAACAGCUCUGGCUGGAUUGAUUUAAAACUUUGCUAAUCAAUCUCAGCCCUUUUCUACUUCUGUAUUUCUGUUUCAUAGUUCUUUGUAAUGUUAAAGGUCUUUAUAUAGAGCUAUGGGAGAUGAGGCAAGGUGUAACUAUAGGCCACUGAGGCUUGGAUUUCCCAUUCGAGUCUUCGUGCCAUGGCUACAGUUUCUCAAUGAGAAAAAGAAACUGGCAUUUGGUUUUCACAGGUUUAAUUUCACACCUGACACAUCCCCUCAACAUUGACAAAACACCACUAAAGCAAUUAAGGUCAAACAGUCUGCCCUGAGUGGCUUGGUGCUGCAAUUCGUCUUUGACAUUUGUGUUCGCACUGACUGCUUUAUUGUCAAUCUCAAACCCGCGCUUUAACGGCAACCAUUUUUCACUUUUAUAAUCUUAACGCAUUAAUGAUUGAUGAUAUGAGUCUUUCCAUAAGAAAGACCUUUAGCACAUAUAAAACAUAUUUGACCUAAUCAGAGUAUGGAUGUGUGGUCAAGACAGGGUCCUUCAUUUAAUCAAAGCUAAUACAGAUACAUUGAGAUAAUGUUAUUAAUAUGCUGUAACGCAUUGAUAUAAAGGUCAUGAUCAUUAUUGGCAAUAGUUAUGAUUAAGAACUUUGCAACGAGGAGGCUGGUGGCUGUGCUGGUCUAUAAGAAACGCAGCUUCCUUUGAUUGGAAUAUUUGGAGAUAGAGAGAGGGAGAUGGAGAGAGAGACAGACAGACAGACAGAGAGAGAGAGAGUAAGUGCACAGAAUUACCCACACAUUAAGGACAAGACCUCUGAAGUGCGAUAAAAGACUCCUCUUAGUACUUUUCGUACAAAUGUUUACAAAAGAAUGUGGAAAAUUCUAUUCAUAUUUCAACUGAUUUUCUUCACUGAAAUGCUAAAUGCAUCAUAUGCAAUUAACCUUGCUCCAGAAUUUUCAGAAUGCAUUACAUGCUAUUAACGGUGAAAAGUAGAAUACAUUUAUUUUCCUUAUCUGCCACAAAGAAUCAGCAAAGAGCAGCAACAGAUUCUUUUUUUUUUUUUUCAAUUUGGCCAGUGAAACUAAAAGUCUAAUCUGCCUACCACAAGCUCAAUAACAGAGUAGUGCUAAUGUCCACCACAAAUGAAUAAAGACAUUGCUUAAGGGACAGGGGAUUGAAUUAUGCAUGAGUCAUUCACUAAGCCACAUUAUGCUUAGCAAAUAGCCAAUGCAGGAAUCGCUGUGUGACUUUGCAGGUCCCUCAAUUUAUUUGUUAUUUAUUCGUUUUUCUUUGAAAUCAAACAAUGGCAGGGU
ensembl:lncRNA